rnacentral:rRNA from 1 species
UACGGGGGGGGCAAGCGUUGUUCGGAAUUACUGGGCGUAAAGGGCUCGUAGGUGGCCAACUAAGUCACACGUGAAAUCCCUCGGCUUAACCGGGAACUGCGUGUGAUACUGGAUGGCUUGAGUUUGGGAGAGGGAUGCGGAAUUCCAGGUGUAGCGGUGAAAUGCGUAGAUAUCUGGAGGAACACCGGUGGCGAAGGCGGCAUCCUGGACCAAUACUGACGCUGAGGAGCGAAAGCCAGGGGA